GCUGGAAUGAAGACUUCCAGAUAGUGUGUUCUGGAAGAGAGUUCCGUCUGCCGGUCUACUCAGGGUCAAGGAUCGUGACCUUCACCCCCAGCCACCCUACAGGACCAAGAAGAGUGCUAUUGGAGAACAACAAUGUAGGUAGUGUGUGUGUGUUUCUGUGGGUGUGAGUACAGUAUGUUCCUGUAUACUAGUCACAAGUGUGUUUUAGUUGAAGGACCCGCGGUUUGAGUGGACCAAAGACAGGACAUUGCUGUUGAAGGAAGUCAACCGAAGUGACCAGGGGCUCUACUCAAUCAAACUGUCUUCUGGAUUCACCUACGAAACUGUUCGUCUCACUGUCUCAGAAUGUGUACAGACAUUUAGACGGGGCUAUGGGGAGAGCUUCAGACACAGCAUCCCUGAAGACGGCUCUCUGCUCCAGUUUUCUCCCCGGAACGCCCCCCCGGGCUCACUGCCAGUGGUGCUGUGGAACCGGACAGACCCAGAGACCAGCGAGCUGGGCCGGGGGGGGCUGGGGUCGGACGGCAGGGUCUGGGUUGCAGAGAGGGUAACGCAGACAGACCAGGGAAACUACACCAUCCUAGAUGACAACGGGAAAGUAAUCUCCCGCAGCCAGCUUACUGUCAAUGUGUGCCCCUUGACUCCCGGUUCUCCCGUACCCCUGUGCAGCUGAUCAGGGCUGGGCAGGUUGUGGGCCAGGACCCCCGGUACUGGGGCCUCAUCUCACUGGAGAGAAAUGGGACCGUAAACGAGGUGGUCAUCACUAGGCUGAGUGCCAAGCAUGAGGGGAUGUAUGAGAUCCGAGAUCAGGACGGCAACCUGGUUUCAUCCACCCUUCUCCAUGUGGUCGAUAAGACGGCCAGAUGGAGGACAGUGCUCAAGUCCAUCAGCGUUCCUUCUGGCAUGUUUGUGACUUUGGCUGGUUUCAUCUUGUUUAUGAAGCGCUACCCAAACUGCAGCCUCUCCAUGAUCAUCAAUGGCUUGAGAGGUCACCACACACCGGCAGCCAAUCCUCCCAGAGUCAAUGUCCAGGAUUACAGUCAGCCCAACCCCUCGCCCUCUAGUUUCUAUGGUGAUUCACAGCAGAUAGGAAUUCCAAAAACAUGGAGCCCCAGUCCUGCAAUUUCGGGUUACACUCCAGUUGUGGAUCGUGUACCGUUUGUAGUGGGCCUUGGACCCCAGCCCUGCACUGUGCCAGUGCCAACACAGAGACAACAGGAGUCUGAAAGAGUUGAGGCAUCCUCUUCUCACACGCUUAGUAAAGAGGAACCUGUUGAUAGUGAGAUCUCGUUUUCUGUUGAUGGCGCCUCGAACUGCCUCCUCUCAUCGGACGACUGCCAUCAGUUCCAGAUCAAGAAAGAGGCAGACAAAGAGAGAGGGAGCAAAGAAUACUUCUCCACGCUUCCCCUGGACACCGAUACCUCAGAAACCUGCAGCGUUUACACUUCUGAAAAACUGAACUUCUUAUAGAGCCCUGAGAAGGACGAGAGUGGAAGAGAACAGGAGAGAAAAUGGAGAAAUGAAAAUGUUGAUGACUGAUUAUUCCACCAUAGUGCCUUUACUUUCAAAACCCUUUGUGGACCUGAUGGUAUUACUUAAAUAAUAUAUUUAUGAUAAUUUGAAUUAUCAUUAGGCAUUAGGUUGUCAGUGUCCUACAUUUUGGCACAUCGCCUGGAGAUCGCCUGUGAUGUUCCUAGAAUUCAAAUCUCCUAUGGUUUUGCUGCUACCUAACUCCGAACCCUCGGGACAAAACACUUGAACCUGUACUGUAAACUAUAGUCUGUAUAUUGGCUGUUUAUGUGUGUAAAUAUAUUAUUAUGUUAGGGCAGUAUAAGACAAGGAAUUAGUGGAUUUCAUAAUAAAAUAAAGGGAAUGGCCUCUCAAGUGUAUUUAACUGCAUGUGUUACCAACUUAUAAUUGAGUUAAUUAACACAAUCUAAGGAAGUAUUUAUUUUUUAGAAUAGAUAUUUUUCACAUAGAAUAUACAGAUUUGUGUGUGAUUGAUAAAAGUACAUUAUUUUCACCAUGUAUUCACAUUGUCUUGGAGGCUUUGUUGAAUAGAUUAUAAACACCUUAUCCAUAUCACUCUGAAAGGGUGUCAAUAUAUGAUGUUGAAGUCACAUUUAUGUUUUCUUGUCUAUUAACAUUUGUAAGUCAAAUAUCGUAUGAUAUGUAAAUAAAACGAAUGUAAUCAAUUCAAGUAGUCUUACGCCAAUAG
ensembl:lncRNA